rnacentral:rRNA from 1 species
GUAGUCUCGCACAGAUGCAUAUCAAUAAGCGGAGGAAAAGAAACUAACUAGGAUUCCCUCAGUGACGGCGAGUGAAGCGGGAAGAGCUCAGAUUUGAAAUCUUCAAGGUUCUACCUUGACGAAUUGUAGUUUAAAGAAGUGUUUUCUGUUGGAGUUUUGGUAAAAGUUCUUUGGAAUAGGACAUCAUAGAGGGUGAGAAUCCCGUAUUUGACCAUUAUUUCCAGCUUUGUGAUACACUUUCAAAGAGUCGGAUUGUUUGGGAAUGCAGUCCAAAAUGGGUGGUAAAUUUCAUCUAAAGCUAAAUAUUGGCGAGAGACCGAUAGCGAACAAGUACCGUGAGGGAAAGAUGAAAAGAACUUUGAAAAGAGAGUUAAACAGUACGUGAAAUUGUCAAAAGGGAAGCGUUUGACACCAGUGUUGUUUUCUCGAAAAUCAAUUAAAAAAGGCAGGAUUUUGUGUUGUAUUGACUUUAUCAGCUUUCUGCACUCUUUUCUUGUCCUUUUUUAAUGCACUUUUCGUUUAACAAGUCAACAUCAAUUUCUUUUGUUGUAAAAGGGUCAUUGGAAGGUGGCUUUCUUUUCGGAGAAAGUGUUUAUAGCCUUUGGACUUCUGCAAUCGGAGAGAUUGAGGUCUGCAGCGUAGAUCCUUCGGGGUUAGAUACACUUGUGCUAAGUUAUAGCCUUUCAUAGACAACUUGUUGAUUAUGAUUAGUCAUUGUAGCUUACUCGCUUAUGCUAUUUUACCUACGCUUAGGAUGUUGAUGUGAUACUGCGAGCA